CCUACGGGAGGCAGCAGUGAGGAAUAUUGGUCAAUGGGCGAGAGCCUGAACCAGCCAAGUCGCGUGAGGGAGUACUGCCCUAUGGGUUGUAAACCUCUUUUGUCGGGGAGCAAAAGCAGGACGUGUCCGGCUGUGAGAGUACCCGAAGAAAAAGAAUCGGCUAACUCCGUGCCAGCAGCCGCGGGAAUACGGAGGAUGCGAGGGUUAGCGGGUUUUAUUGGGUUUAAAGGGUGCGCAGGCGGAUGUUAGAGUAAGCGGUAAAAUCGCGGGGCUCAACCCCAUCCAGCCGUUGAAACUGGGGAUCUAGAGUGUGCGAGAGGUAUGCGGAAUGCGUGGUGUAGCGGUGAAAUGCAUAGAUAUCACGCAGAACCCCGAUUGCGAAGGCAGCAUACCGGUGCACAACUGACGCUCAGGCACGAAAGCGUGGGUAUCGAACAGGAUUAGAUACCCCUGUAGUC
rnacentral:rRNA from 1 species